GGGUGAGUAACACGUGAGCAACCUGCCUUUCAGAGGGGGAUAACGUUUGGAAACGAACGCUAAUACCGCAUAACAUAUACGAACGGCAUCGUUCAUAUAUCAAAGGAGCAAUCCGCUGAGAGAUGGGCUCGCGUCCGAUUAGCUAGAUGGUGAGGUAACGGCCCACCAUGGCGACGAUCGGUAGCCGGACUGAGAGGUUGACCGGCCACAUUGGGACUGAGACACGGCCCAGACUCCUACGGGAGGCAGCAGUGAGGGAUAUUGGGCAAUGGGGGAAACCCUGACCCAGCGACGCCGCGUGAGGGAAGACGGUCUUCGGAUUGUAAACCUCUGUCUUUGGGGACGAAAAAGGACGGUACCCAAGGAGGAAGCUCCGGCUAACUACGUGCCAGCAGCCGCGGUAAUACGUAGGGAGCGAGCGUUGUCCGGAAUUACUGGGUGUAAAGGGAGCGUAGGCGGGAUUGCAAGUUGGAUGUGAAAACUGCGGGCUCAACCCGGAGAGUGCAUUCAAAACUGCGAUUCUUGAGUGAAGUAGAGGCAAGCGGAAUUCCUAGUGUAGCGGUGAAAUGCGUAGAUAUUAGGAGGAACACCAGUGGCGAAGGCGGCUUGCUGGGCUUUUACUGACGCUGAGGCUCGAAAGUGUGGGGAGCAAACAGGAUUAGAUACCCUGGUAGUCCACACCGUAAACGAU
rnacentral:rRNA from 1 species